rnacentral:rRNA from 1 species
UACGUAGGGUGCGAGCGUUGUCCGGAAUUAUUGGGCGUAAAGGGCUCGUAGGCGGUUUGUCGCGUCGGGAGUGAAAACCCAGGGCUUAACUCUGGGCUUGCUUUCGAUACGGGCAGACUAGAGGUAUGCAGGGGAGAACGGAAUUCCUGGUGUAGCGGUGAAAUGCGCAGAUAUCAGGAGGAACACCGGUGGCGAAGGCGGUUCUCUGGGCAGUUACCUGACGCUGAGGAGCGAAAGUGUGGGAGCGAACAGG